rnacentral:rRNA from 1 species
UACAGAGGUCUCAAGCGUUGUUCGGAUUCAUUGGGCGUAAAGGGUGCGUAGGUGGCGCGGUAAGUCGGGUGUGAAAUUUCGGAGCUUAACUCCGAAACUGCAUUCGAUACUGGCGUGCUUGAGGACUGGAGAGGAGACUGGAAUUCAUGGUGUAGCAGUGAAAUGCGUAGAGAUCAUGAGGAAGACCAGUGGCGAAGGCGGGUCUCUGGACAGUUCCUGACACUGAGACACGAAGGCCAGGGGAGCAAACGGG